GAUGAACGCUAGCGGCAGGCCUAAUACAUGCAAGUCGGACGGGAUCCAUUGAUAGAUUGCUAUCAAUGGUGAGAGUGGCGCACGGGUGCGUAACGCGUGAGCAACCUGCCUCCAUCAGGGGGAUAGCCUCUCGAAAGAGAGAUUAACACCGCAUAAUAUCAACAGUUCGCAUGUUCAGUUGAUUAAAUAUUUAUAGGAUGGAGAUGGGCUCGCGUGACAUUAGCUAGUUGGUAGGGUAACGGCUUACCAAGGCGACGAUGUCUAGGGGCUCUGAGAGGAGAAUCCCCCACACUGGUACUGAGACACGGACCAGACUCCUACGGGAGGCAGCAGUAAGGAAUAGUGGUCAAUGGGCGGAAGCCUGAACCAGCCAUGCCGCGUGCAGGAUGACUGCCCUAUGGGUUGUAAACUGCUUUUGUCCAGGAAUAAACCUAAAUACGAGUAUUUAGCUGAAUGUACUGGAAGAAUAAGGAUCGGCUAACUCCGUG
rnacentral:rRNA from 1 species